AGUUUCUUCUCUGAAUUCAUCGUUUUCCGAAAAUCCCACUCGAUCCAGAAUCAUUUCGCGGAGACCCCCCCCCCCCCCAAGUCGGAAUGCCUCCGAGGCCUCCCCCCUUCUCUAAGGACGAGGAAAGCAUCUGGAUUCCGCGGCACUCCUACCUUCGGGCGCGACAUGGUACGAUUCACCAGGGCCGGACCCAAACCGCCACCGCAACAGCUCCAGCCUCCGCGUCCCGUUGCCAAGGUGAUGGAGGCCGGAUCCUCCUCUCUGAUUGGAUGAGCUAAAGGCCCUCCUCCUCGCAGGGUUCGCAGUCUAGUGUCUGAUCCCAGCACCCGAAAGCUCUUGCGCGCCCGGGAGGCCCAGACCCUCUUACUUCGUUCGACCUUUUUCUCCCAGCCCCUCUCCUCUGCGACCCUGGGGCGUACACGGCCAGAGAGUGGCUGCCCUGGGCGGGCACGGACUGCCCAGCGCUUCCUCCAGCUGCAUUUCGCUAGACCUAAGAGCGCUCUGUCUGAAAAGUUGUCAGCUUUUGGGUUUUUAACAUGAUGGAGUUCCUUUGUACAUGCGACCUGAUUAUUCCUCCAACAACCAAACCUGAGAUGUCCGAUAUGUAGCUCCCAGCCACGUGUUAAGCAAGUGACAUGUGGCUCCUGAACUGAGCUGUGCUCUAAGUGUAAAGUGCACACUGGGUGGUAAAGACUUCAUACAAUAAAAAGGAGGUA